GGUGUCGGCGCCGGCCGACAACAACGCCAACAGUACCGGCACGGACUCGGACGACAGCGGAGAGGAGAGGUCGCCCAGCCCCGCCUCCGGUGUCGAGCCGAACGAGAACAAAACCAAGCGGCGGCGGCGGAAGCGAUAGGCGGCCGCCGCGAGCCCGCGCGCGCGUGUGUGUUUUAUCAGAGCGACAUGUUAACGCGUUCCUUUAAUCCGGACUUGUGCCGCGGCGGCGGGCGGCUCCGUUGUACUAACAGUCGGCCGCGCUCUCCUGCGGCCGCGCGGCGCGCUCAUCUCAUAAUGCAUCGGCCUGCCGGGGCGCGGGCGGGUGCGGCGCCGCGGCGGCCGCCGGAGCGGGCUGCGCGAGCGGUGGUGGUAGGGGCCCGUCUCUGCUGUGUGCGCUUUUAUCUUGGCCGCGUGUGGGAGAGUGCGCCUUGAAGGCCUGGUCGUUGGACGAAGUCAGGACGCGUGUGGGAGUGCGCGUGUGCGUGUGGCUGAGUGGCGUUUGUAACACGGGACCAGACGAACAAUCUUCCAAAUAUAUACCAUUGCUUGGU